rnacentral:rRNA from 1 species
UGAGGAAUAUUGGUCAAUGGGCGCUAGCCUGAACCAGCCAAGUAGCGUGCAGGACGACGGCCCUAUGGGUUGUAAACUGCUUUUAUGCGGGGAUAAAGUCACCCACGUGUGGGUGUUUGCAGGUAUCGCAUGAAUAAGGACCGGCUAAUUCCGUGCCAGCAGCCGCGGUAAUACGGAAGGUCCGGGCGUUAUCCGGAUUUAUUGGGCGUAAAGCGCGUCUAGGUGGUUAUAUAAGUCUGAUGUGAAAAUGCAGGGCUCAACUCUGUAUUGCGUUGGAAACUGUAUAACUAGAGUACUGGAGAGGUAAGCGGAACUACAAGUGUAGAGGUGAAAUUCGUAGAUAUUUGUAGGAAUGCCGAUGGGGAAGCCAGCUUACUGGACAGAUACUGACGCUGAAGCGCGAAAGCGUGGGUAGCAAACAGG